ensembl:lncRNA
AAAAAAAAUGUUGCUGUUGCUAAGUGUGGGGUUUCCCUCGCUAACAUGUUUUUUUAUCUCAUUCAGGUAGCGCAUUCAAUAGUAGUCCUCAUAUUCCAGUGUAAACAAGUCUGGAAAACUACUAGGGCAGUGGCGGUUGACAUCAUGUUUGCUUUGGACCGAAUGGCUACACUCCAGCAUCCAUCAGGUAGAAUUAGAUCACAGACAGGACCAUGUAAUGUGACCUUUGGUUAAUUCAUCAAGAAUCUCCGGCACUGUUUGUGCUGUAGGAUGAAGAGUUUUCCUUACACCCUGAGUAUACAGUAUGUGAGUGU